rnacentral:rRNA from 1 species
UACGUAGGUGGCAAGCGUUGUCCGGAAUUACUGGGUGUAAAGGGUGAGUAGGCGGCAUGGUAAGCCAGAUGUGAAAGCCUUGGGCUUAACCCGAGGAUUGCAUUUGGAACUAUCAAGCUAGAGUACAGGAGAGGAAAGCGGAAUUCCUAGUGUAGCGGUGAAAUGCGUAGAUAUUAGGAAGAACACCAGUGGCGAAGGCGGCUUUCUGGACUGAAACUGACGCUGAGGCACGAAAGCGUGGGGAGCGAACGGG